rnacentral:misc_RNA from 1 species
GAAUAACCGAAGGAGAACUUCUCUGGCUCAUGCCACCCUUGAGUUGCCUCCUACGAUUUACCUCUCUGUCGUUUCGCUUUCUAGACAAGCGCAUAUCUGAAAGAACCAAAACGAACUACGCCCUCUGCCGAUCAGUAGCCUCCAUGGAUAGCGGCGGGGGGGGGAGGCGGAGUAAGCCCGCCCUUUCCCCGGGGGUUUUUUGGAAAAACAAAAAAA